UUUACGGUUUCAGAGUGGUACACGUGCGUAUCAAUUUCUCACGUUAUAAUUGGACACAGUCCAAUUAUAAGUCGCUUUCGAGGGAUCUUAGAAAUGUCUCUGGGCACACACGGUUCUAUCGUCCAAUUAUCCAGUGGGCGAUCUUGUUUACUCGUGUUUAUUACCACUGAAUAGAGAAUGUGACCGAAACGCUUGGUAUACAGGCCAUUUCGUAGGAAGGAAGGAAGGAAAGAAACGUUUGGAAAUGAAUUCGGAAUAUGCGACAAUGGUAAAGGAGCUUCUAAAAAAAACACAGCGAGCUUAGCGAAAACCUUCUUGAGGAAAAAACAAGUUCCUUCAAGGAAAAGACUUCCUAGAGAAAAUGCUGCUUGAAGAAGAAAAGCUCCUUCAAGGAAAAGACCAAGGUCUCUCGGGAAAAAGGCUUCCUGGACAAAAUGCUGCGUGAAAAAAGGGACAAACUUCUCCAGCUUCAAGAAUUCCAUCAAAGAGGAAUGGAUCUUAAAAUUAAGUUGAUUGAGUCACAACAUAAUACGGAAAUAGUAAAAAAAGAACUGGCUGAUGUAAAUGCAUAACAUUUAUUGGAUAUUCAAGCGUUCGAUAUAUGUAGUGUUUUGGAGAAAUUUGAUAGCAAAAUGUUUAGCUCUUAUACUGUGUCAACUAGGAUCAUUAAGGAAACGUAUAGAGAAUGGAGAAGAAAUUGUAGUUGAAAAACGCGCAGGCCUCGAAUCAUGAGAUUCCUAUCGAGAGGUUGCAAAAUUUCUACAGCAAGUAUCUGCGAGUAAACAGCAAACGAAAAGCAUUAGCCUAUCAGAAGAGAUAUUGUAGAGCUGUGUAUAAUCGGCGGUUUUCAGUAUUGCAAGGAGAAUACGCUGUACAUUCUCGCGCAAAUAACUCAAUAAGUCAACGUUCGGGCACGCAGUUACAACACGGAAAGGUGCGUCUCAAGAUCGUUGUAUUAAUGGUUAUUGAUACAAUCAGAAUGAAGUGGCUGUUCGAUCGCCGGCGAAUGAGGAGACAGGCAGGCACCAAUGUUCUUAUGGAUUUUAUCGACCAGUUAAUGGAGAAGCCGCUUACGAGAUAGCCUAUGUUUAAUCAUUCUCCGCCUGUUAGGGAAAGAGCGACGACGAAGUAAGUAGAACAAUUGUCAAAUAAAUUACAUUUUUAGUCAAGAAAUGCCGCAAUAUAAAAAUGCUAAUAAUUGUUUCUUAUAUUUUUUUUUUACUUAAUAUAAUUUAAGAUAAUUAUAUGUAAUUAAGGAAUACCUCGUUG